rnacentral:lncRNA from 1 species
UCUUGACACACUCUCUACCACAUUUCCAAGCCUAAGAAAUUAUUUCGUUUACUUUCCACUAAGCUGCUGACUUCACAGGAGAUUUUCCAGGACUCCUCACCCACUUGACUAACAGCCUUGAAGUUGAAGUUAUCGAUGUUCAGUACAAGUGGAGAAUAAAAUGGGAAGAUUUAACAGUGGUGGUCUACUAAACGGCGAGAAAAAUCAAGGCUGACACGCUUAGAAAACGGCAGGACAAGCUCAAAGGAAGAUUUCAAAAGUGAAAUGCAUCUUUUUCUCUGUGAACUCUGCUGCUUUUUGUCUGUGUUCCCAUCAAGGUCUCCUUUCCAGGUAUUAGUCAUGUAGUGCUCUGGGUAACAGUAAAUAAACAGUUUUGUUCUGAGA